GCACAGCAACGGGUGGAGCGUGCGGUUUAAUUGGAUUCAACGCCGGAAAACUCACCGGAGGCGACGGUUACAUGAAGGCCAGGCUGAUGACCUUGCCUGAUUUUCCGAGAGGUGGUGCAUGGCCGCCGUCAGUUCGUACCGUAAGGCGUUCUGUUAAGUCAGACAACGAACGAGACCCUCAUCUUUAAUUGCUACUAGUAAGUUCGCUUACUGGGCACAUUAAAGAAACCGCUGGCGAUAAGUCAGAGGAAGGCGAGGGCAACGGUAGGUCAGUAUGCCCUGAAUCCUCCGGGCUACACGCGCGCUAUAAAGGCUAGGACAAUGAGCUUCAACACCGAGAGGUGAAGGUAAUCUCGAAACCUAGUCGUAGUUCGGAUUGAGGGUUGAAACUCACCCUCAUGAAGCUGGAAUCCGUAGUAAUCGCGGAUCAACAUCCCGCGGUGAAUAUGCCCCUGCUCCUUGCACACACCGCCCGUCAAACCAUGCGAGUUGGGUUUGAGUGAGGAUGUAGUUUUUGCUACGUUCAAACUUAGGCUUAGUAAGCGGGGUU
rnacentral:rRNA from 1 species